GUCUAUGGCCAUGCCGCCCUGAACAAGCCCGAUCUCGUCUGAUCUCAGAAGCUAAGCAGGGUCGGGCCUGGUUAGUACUUGGACGGGAGUCCACCUAGGAAUACCAGGUGCUGUAAG
rnacentral:rRNA from 1 species